AUUUUGGAAUUCCUAAUCCUAGUAGUAGAUUACUUAUUGGUCUAUAAAUACCUAGAGCUAACAAUUUUUGACACGAAACGACUCAACAUGCAAUUAAACGGGUUUGGGUGUAGGCCUUUAGCAUAAAUAGGUUCAGAUAGGUCAACUUGUUCAUAACACGCCAUAAAUAUGGGUUUAGUUGGGUGACUCACUUCACCGAUAAGACACGAAAUGACCCGUUUAUUUAGUUAAGUUAAUAGGUUAACUUUGACCCAUUUAAUCCUGUUAUGACCCAUGUUAUUUACAUAUUAAAACUAUGUAAUUUCAUUUAUAGAGCACAAAUAUUAAGAGCUAAACCUAACCUAAACCAGCUCAUAUUUAAUGUUCCAACUUCAUCAACAAUCUUAUGAAAUACAAUGAUGUUGUGAAACUCAUAUUCACAACUUGAACAUUUAGUGUCUGUGUAAUUUUAACUUUCUUUGUUAUUUGGAUGAUGUUUCGAUAUUUGGCUGUUGUUUGAAUAUUUAGUUGACCUUUGGAUAAUUGAAUAUUUAGAUGUUUGGAUAUUUAGAUAAUUUUGAAUAUUUGGGUUCUAUUUAUAUAUUUUGAUGAUGUUGCUUAAUAUGCAUCUUGGCAUGUAACAAGUUAAAUGUGCUCCAUGAGUUAAACGUGUCAUGCCACGUGAGAUUUAUAAUGACCCAUUUAUUAAAUGGGUUAAACAUGUUGUGUUGUUUCAUAUGACACGUUAAUAACCCAUUUAUUUAAAUGGGUUAUAUAGGUAGUGUUGUGUAACAGGUUUCAUAAACAUAUCCAGUGUUAUCAAGGCGAUAGGAUACCCUAUGGCUUUAGGCGAGAGGCGAGAGGUGAUGAGCGAUAGAGUAACCUAUGACCUCAAGCGAGAGGCGAUAUGAG
rnacentral:misc_RNA from 1 species